GUUAAUGUUAUGUUCUAACAUAUAAAAAAGAUUUUGUCUAGUGAAACAGCUGUAAUUGCUGAGACUGGGGACUCAUGGUUUAACUGCCAAAAGUUGAAAUUGCCCGAGGGAUGUGGGUAUGAGUUUCAAAUGCAAUAUGGCUCAAUUGGAUGGUCUGUUGGUGCAACUCUUGCCUAUGCACAAGUGGUACCCGAGAAGCGAGUGAUUGCUUGCAUUGGUGAUGGAAGCUUCCAGGUAACAGCACAGGAUGUAUCAACAAUGCUGCGAUGUGGCCAGAAAACCAUCAUCUUUCUGAUAAACAAUGGGGGAUACACUAUUGAGGUAUAAAUUCAUGACGGGCCAUAUAAUGUUAUCAAGAACUGGAACUACACUGGAUUGAUUGACGCAAUUCACAACGGUGAAGG